rnacentral:rRNA from 1 species
UACGUAGGGGGCAAGCGUUGUCCGGAUUAUUGGGCGUAAAGAGCGUGUAGGCGGCCAAGCAGGUCCGCUGUGAAAACUCGAGGCUCAACCUCGAGACGUCGGUGGAAACCGUUUGGCUAGAGUCCGGAAGAGGAGAGUGGGAUUCCCGGUGUAGCGGUGAAAUGCGCAGAUAUCGGGAAGAACACCCGUGGCGAAGGCGGCUCUCUGGGACGGUACUGACGCUGAGACGCGAAAGCGUGGGGAGCAACAGG